CGGGGGGCGGGGCUCUUUACCGGGUCUCUGAGACUAGUCUGCAAGCAUGCUGCGGGGUCUCCAUCUCCAUCAUUCAGAUCCUGCAGCGAGUAGGCGGAGCUGAGCAGCUGCAGGUGCGGAUCGAGUGAGCCGUCGCCCGGCACCACGGCGGCCCCUCGGGCGGAGAGCGCCAUCCGCGCCACCCGCGCCAGGCGGCCGCGGGAAGGACCGUGGGGCCCCGCAGUGCCCAGAGACCGCGGCGGGGGGCGCAGGCGGGACGGCCCGGACCCCUCCAUUUUAGGUCUCCUCCGCGGAGGGCCCCAGGUACCAUAUCCCAUACCGCAAAAAACCUUCACAGCCGAGUCCUUUUCCACUGCAUCCAGAGAAUCACCAGAGUCUGGCAAACCUGUUGCCUCCCAUUGGCCAGAAAGGGGGAACACUCGAAAGAGGGGAUGUUACCGCAGGAUUUACCAGGCCCUGUGCAGGAAGCCACCUGAGAUGUAACCUGAACCCUGAGUGGGAGAGGAUUGGGCCAGUGAGCCACCAGGAAGGUCCCAUGAGGGGCUCCCUGCAGCACCUGCGAUCACACUCUCCAGACCCAGAAGCCCAUCCACCAGCCAUGAGCAGCCUGGCAGCUGUGUACCACAGGAUCUGGGGAAGUGGUCUUGCUCUUCUAGGUGAUGGCUCACCACUUCUGAGAUCAUUUCAAGAUGGAUCCCUACAUAGAGAUGCAGUUCCUGUAGCAGCCGGGGGAGCAGCCGAGUGAAGAGCCUACCUAGAAGAAAGGCCCUUCUGGUAGAGGCCUAGAGGGGUGGCGUGGCUCAGGUCUUCUGGCCCUUCCAUAGAAAAGAUGCCAGUGUACUUUGGGCACUGAUAUCUCCUAGCAACACUGUGAGGGAGAGGUAUUCUCCCACCUCAGGAACUCAGCAGGGCUCAAUGAAAGGCGUGGGAUUUGCCCUUGUUACACAGAAUAGUGGGGAGCUUGGCCUGCCCUGGACCUCCAUUCCCCCACCUCCUCUGCAGUCUUCUUUGUGACCUGGCAGGACAUUGGGGUUGGGAGGGAGUAGAGAGCUGCCAGGGGACCUAGGGAGAAAGAGACACCAUGGGGUAGGGAAGCUGGGCAUCUACCUUUCCUGGGAGUGGUCUAGAAGACAGGCCAGUAGUUGAGUUCAUGAACAGAGAGGAAGGUUCGAGAACUUCCUGAAAUGUCUAGUCCUCCCUGCCUCUCUGGUGCUUGACCAAGGACUCCUGAGCAGUUGUGUGCUAGUGGACUGCAAAUGUGGUUCAUGGGAGGCUGAGGAACUACGGGCUGAAACCCAUGGUUUGUAUGGCCCUGUUUCUCUGUUCCUAGACUUGCAGCCCCAUCCCCAGCAUCACAUGGGAAAAAUCUCCUCCAGAUAGGUGGAGGACAGUCUGUCCAGGAGGCCCUGCAUAGGCUAGAGUCUCCAAAUGCCCAAGGACAGCCCAAGGGAUACUUUUACUACUUAUCCAACACUCCCCCAGCUUUUCUGAUGCUGGUAUCUCAAGGUCCGUGCAUUCCAUUCCUGAUGCAGAAACCUUCAGCAUGCCAGCCAGCCCCAGGGACAGAGUGACCCAUCUGCCUACUUGGAGUCAGAGACCCAAAUGGAGAUCUGUCUCAGCUGAAGGACACAAGCUGAAAGGUGGCUGCCACAUGUUCUCCGCUCUUUGCCAUAGCCCAGGACCCGAUGGUUUCCUUCUGCCAAGUCUCGCUGAGUAGUCUGUAUAUGUAUGUUUGAAUGCAUGUGUGCACGCCUGUGUGUAAACAUGUGUGAUGGAGAUGGAGCUGUUGGGUAGCGACAAGAGCUCCUGGGAAUCUCCUGUUUUCUGUGUACAGGAGGGAUCAUGGACUACUUGGAGAAAUGGGUAUGGAGUCUGAGGCUCUGCCUUCUUAGACCUCCCAGUCCAGGGAAGCCCCUCCCUGCUCAUGCUCAGGCAUGGACUAUGGUGUGAGGUCAGAGGCACUGGCAUUGGACUGGAUUCUGGGCCCAGUGGCGUCAGUCAGGAGACGGGGAUAGAAGGAGGACUCAGCUUUGUGUUCCUGUCCCAUUCUGGCCCUGAGUAGUCUGAGCUUCUGCGUCCCCCCCUCCCCCUGGGCUCCUUUUGUUCCUCCAUGGUGCCCUCGCUGUGUGAUGGGGUGGUGAUGCACUUUAUUUCCUUGCAGUCUGCAUUGCAGGCUGCGGAGCUUCGAUCAGUUCGGAGACUUGACCUGGAUGAGCGUACAUUUCCUUGUGUGAUGAACUCCGCAUUGCCAGUGUUGUCUGGUCAGAGAUGCAGUUCCGAUGUUGUCACUUGUUGUUGUCUCCCAAAGUUAGAAGAAAAUCCUCGAGUUCAGUACACCAAAUACUGCCUGCACGCCUCCUGUUUUUCUUGGGUGCCAUACCGUACCUGGGUGGGGAAGUGGGUGGGGUACGGGACAGCAAGCUCCAAGCCCAGAGGGUCAUCCAGAGCUGUGCAGGCAAAGUGCAGCUUCAGAGCUUCCGUCUAGACUGUCCUUGACAGGACCACCACCCUCUGCUCCCCCUGACCAAGGGGGUAACAGUCGAGCCGGCCCUGAAGGUGGCAGUUAUUCCUGUCCAGUAUUCAGGGAAAGAAGCUGAAGCAAAGGUUCUCGUUCUUUCCAGGUCUGGACUCAAUGUGUUUAAUUCCAGUAGAACCUCGAGAGUGAGGAGAAAUGCAACAGCGCUCUGCAGGCCCCUCUGUGACGCCCAGAGACCAGUCCCUCUGCAGCAGCAGGCGGAGUAACUGGAAGAGGGAUUCUCAGGACCCUAGCCUGUACAGCUUGUCCACUGGCGUCAUGGAGACUGCUCUCCAGUUGUAGUUGGGCCGGAUGCUCUGCACUACCACCACGUUGACAACAUGGCCUACAAGAGGGGUGUAGCCCACGGGGCACUUCAGUGAGUGGAAGGUGAAAAAGAUGGUGUGAUUCAGCACUCCUUGUCGUUUGUGGAUACUAGUCACGCAGACCUGUCAAGAGAAAGCGUGGCAGUGAGUGUGGGAAAACUGGGUCCCUGGACAGCCUCUGUCCCUCCACACUCUAGCUCCAAACACUUGUUGACCCACUGUGUCGCUGUGUCCUGUCCUACCUGCUACACUGCCAACACUGGGGUGUGUGUCACCCACUUCCUUCCCCGACUCCAACCUCACACCAAUUAAAGAGGAGACUCUUCUGGUGGUCUGUCCUGCUGGUGAGAGACCAUGUCCUAAAUAUUAGUCAUCAGUGGCCAUUAGCCCCUGUGGUUAAUGUGGACAGAUCAAGGAUUGACUGAAAAGGAAAAACAGCAGGAAAUGGACUAUUACACCCCCCCCCCCACCACGGCACUCUUCAAGCACAUGACGUCAUCUGUACCUUGUUGGAGACUCAUUUCAGGCUAGCUGAACCACAGCCACAGCCCCAGUCCCAGCCCCAGCCCCACUUUGCAUUCCAACUUUUCCAGCAAUGUUCUCUGGACUGCUCAUCUUUCUUCCUGUUGUGUUUAGAAUGUUCCACAUGACAGUUCUCGUGGUAAGCCCUGUGACUCAGAAUUGAAGGAUGUGUAUAUAUGUUCUCUGUUACCUUUAGCUACUUCUUUACAAAGUCCU